AACGAACGCUGGCGGCAGGCCUCAAACAUGCAAGUCUAGGGGGUGUAGCAAUACAUCACCGGCGGACGGGUGCGUAACGCGUGGGAAUAUACCUAUCGAUUCGGAACAACUGAGGGAAACUUCAGCUAAUACCGAAUACGUCCUAACGGAGAAAGAUUUAUCGUCGAUAGAUUAGCCCGCGUUCGAUUAGCUAGUUGGUGGGGUAACGCCCACCAAGGCGACGAUCGAUAGCUGUUCUGAGAGGAAGAUCAGCCACACUGGGACUGAGACACGGCCCAGACUCCUACGGGAGGCAGCAGUUGGGAAUAUUGGACAAUGGGCGAAAGCCUGAUCCAGCCAUGCCGCGUGUGUGAAGAAGGCC
rnacentral:rRNA from 1 species